CCUGCAGCUUUAAGGCCUCAGACGACUUCUAGCAGCACUGUGUAUUUCAAAGUAGCCAAUCAAUCCUUGGCCUGCUCCACAAAAAUAACCUACUAUCCAGACCCUGUGUUCACCACCUUCUCAUCUAUGAGGACAAGGGAUGGGUCUCAAAUUUUUCUACAGAAAAAGGCAGAUAAACUAGAGAUGACAGCAGCAGAGUUGUUAGUGUGGGGUAUUGAAGACGGAAAGAAAUACCCUUGCAUCAUGAUAGAGA